rnacentral:rRNA from 1 species
GACGAACGCUGGCGGCGUGCCUAACACAUGCAAGUCGAACGGAGAUAUGAUUUCGGUUGUAUCUUAGUGGCGAACGGUGAGUAACGCGUGAGCAACCUGACUCUUAGAGGGGGAUAACACUCGGAAACGGGUGCUAAUACCGCAUAAGACCACGACAUGGCAUCAUGACGAGGUCAAAGGAGCAAUCCGCUGAGAGAGGGGCUCGCGUCCCAUUAGAUAGAUGGCGGGGUAACGGCCCACCAUGUCAGCGAUGGGUAGCCGAGCUGAGAGGCUGAUCGGCCACACUGGAACUGAGACACGGUCCAGACUCCUACGGGAGGCAGCAGUGGGGAAUAUUGGGCAAUGGGCGCAAGCCUGACCCAGCAACGCCGCGUGAGGGAAGAAGGCUUUCGGGUUGUAAACCUCUGUCCUUGGUGACGAAAAAAUGACGGUAGCCAAGGAGGAAGCCCCGGCUAACGUACGUAGCCAGCAG